UACGUAGGCAGCAAGCGUUGUUCGGAAUUACUGGGCGUAAAGAGUGCGUAGGCGGUUGGCUAAGUUUGGUGUGAAAUCUCCCGGCUUAACUGGGAGGGUGCGCCGAAAACUGGCUAGCUAGAGUGUGGGAGAGGAUAGUGGAAUUCCUGGUGUAGCGGUGAAAUGCGUAGAUAUCGUAAGGAAGACCAGUGGCGAAGGCGGGUCUCUGGACAGUUCCUGACGCUGAGGCACGAAGGUCAGGGGAGCAAACGGG
rnacentral:rRNA from 1 species